UCAGGUGUACAAAGUUAUUAUAGA
rnacentral:siRNA from 1 species